UGCCAGCCGCCGCGGUAAUACGGAGGGAGCUAGCGUUGUUCGGAAUCACUGGGCGUAAAGCGCACGUAGGCUGACUGGUCAGUUGGGGGUGAAAUCCCGAGGCUCAACCUCGGAACUGCCUUUGAUACUGACGGUCUCGAGUCCGGGAGAGGUGAGUGGAACUCCUAGUGUAGAGGUGAAAUUCGUAGAUAUUAGGAAGAACACCAGUGGCGAAGGCGGCUCACUGGCCCGGUACUGACGCUGAGGCGCGAAAGCGUGGGGAGCAAACAGGAUUAGAUA
rnacentral:rRNA from 1 species